GUGAAUCAUCGAAUUUUUGAACGCAAAUUGCGCUUCCUGGCAUCCCGGGAAGUAUGCCUGUUUGAAGGUCAGUAUUAAUAUAAAAUCGUUUUGGUUACAAAUUGUGACGUUUCCAGAGUUUGGGCUAUCUUAACAUUUUUGGUUAAGUUGCUUAAAAUUGACCUUUUUUGCGCUUUUUUAGUCGUACAUAAAUUUUUUUUCCUUCGUCUAUUCCUUCUUAUUGCAAAACUCUUAUUAGAUGC
rnacentral:misc_RNA from 1 species